AGGGAAUCUUCCACAAUGGACGCAAGUCUGAUGGAGCAACGCCGCGUGAGUGAAGAAGGCUUUCGGGUCGUAAAACUCUGUUGUUGGAGAAGAAUGGUCGGCAGAGUAACUGUUGUCGGCGUGACGGUAUCCAACCAGAAAGCCACGGCUAACUACGUGCCAGCAGCCGCGGUAAUACGUAGGUGGCAAGCGUUAUCCGGAUUUAUUGGGCGUAAAGCGAGCGCAGGCGGUUUUUUAAGUCUGAUGUGAAAGCCCUCGGCUUAACCGAGGAAGCGCAUCGGAAACUGGGAAACUUGAGUGCAGAAGAGGACAGUGGAACUCCAUGUGUAGCGGUGAAAUGCGUAGAUAUAUGGAAGAACACCAGUGGCGAAGGCGGCUGUCUGGUCUGUAACUGACGCUGAGGCUCGAAAGCAUGGGUAGCGAACAGGA
rnacentral:rRNA from 1 species